UACGAAGGGGGCUAGCGUUGUUCGGAUUUACUGGGCGUAAAGCGCACGUAGGCGGACUAUUAAGUCAGGGGUGAAAUCCCGGGGCUCAACUCUGGAACUGCCCUUGAAACUGUAUGGCUUGAGUAUGAGAGAGGUGAGUGGAAUUCCCAGUGUAAAGGUGAAAUUCGUAGAUAUUGGGAAGAACACCGGUGGCGAAGGCGGCUCACUGGCUCAUUACUGACGCUCAGGCGCGACAGCGUGGGGAUCAAACAGG
rnacentral:rRNA from 1 species